UACGGGGGGGGCAAGCGUUGUUCGGAAUUACUGGGCGUAAAGGGCUCGUAGGCGGCCAACUAAGUCAGACGUGAAAUCCCCAGGCUCAACCUGGGAACUGCGUCUGAUACUGGAUGGCUUGAAUUCGGGAGAGGGAUGCAGAAUUCCAGGUGUAGCGGUGAAAUGCGUAGAUAUGCGGAGGAACACCGAUGGCGAAGGCAAUUCCCUGGGCCUGCACUGACGCUCAUGCACGAAAGCGUGGGGAGCAAACAGG
rnacentral:rRNA from 1 species